rnacentral:ncRNA from 1 species
UGAUGUCAUUCAGGAGAAGAAAGCUUAGCUUUCGCCGAAGGAGUUGCACUCUCAGGUGUCGUAAGACGGGACUGGUUGAC